GACGAACGCUGGCGGCGUGCUUAACACAUGCAAGUCGAACGGAAAGGCUCCAGCUUGCUGGAGUACUCGAGUGGCGAACGGGUGAGUAACACGUGGGUAAUCUGCCCUGCACUCUGGGAUAAGCCUGGGAAACUGGGUCUAAUACUGGAUAUGACCUUUCUCCUUAUGGGGUUUGGUGGAAAGUUUUUCGGUGUAGGAUGAGCCCGCGGCCUAUCAGCUUGUUGGUGGGGUGAUGGCCUACCAAGGCGACGACGGGUAGCCGGCCUGAGAGGGUGAUCGGCCACAUUGGGACUGAGAUACGGCCCAGACUCCUACGGGAGGCAGCAGUGGGGAAUAUUGCACAAUGGGCGGAAGCCUGAUGCAGCGACGCCGCGUUAGGGAUGACGGCCUUCGGGUUGUAAACCUCUUUCAGCAGGGACGAAGCGUAAGUGACGGUACCUGCAGAAGAAGCACCGGCUAACUAUGUG
rnacentral:rRNA from 1 species